rnacentral:tRNA from 1 species
CAAAGCGUAGCUUAAUUUUAAAGCACCUCGCUUACACCGAGAACAUACCUGCUAACCCCAGGUCGCUUUGA